rnacentral:rRNA from 1 species
AGUGAACGCUGGCGGUAGGCCUAACACAUGCAAGUCGAACGGCAGCACAGUAAGAGCUUGCUCUUACGGGUGGCGAGUGGCGGACGGGUGAGGAAUACAUCGGAAUCUACUUUUUCGUGGGGGAUAACGUAGGGAAACUUACGCUAAUACCGCAUACGACCUACGGGUGAAAGCAGGGGAUCUUCGGACCUUGCGCGAUUGAAUGAGCCGAUGUCGGAUUAGCUAGUUGGCGGGGUAAAGUCCCACCAAGGCGACGAUCCGUAGCUGGUCUGAGGGGAUGAACAGCAAACUUGGAACAGGGACCAGGUCCAACUCCCUCGGGGGGCCAACAGUGGGAAAUUUGGGACAAGGGGCACAAGCAUAAUCCAGCCAACCCGCGGGGGUGAAGAAGGCCUUGGGGUUGUAAACCCCUUUUUUUGGGAAAAAAAAACGGCAGGUUAAAACCCCGCUUUUCUGACGGGACCAAAAGAAUAAGCACCGGCUAACUUCGG